ACAUCCCACUUCCUCUGGGAGGGGUAGUGUUUAUUAGAUACAGAACCAACCCACCUUUUGGUGGUCCUUGGGUGAUUCAUAGUAACCGAACGGAUCGCUGUAUGGCUUCGGCCAGCGAUAGAUCAUUCAAGUUUCUGACCUAUCAGCUUUCGACGGUACUGUAUUGGACUACCGUGGCGGUGACGGGUAACGGGGAAUUAGGGUUCGAUUCCGGAGAGGGAGCCUGAGAGACGGCUACCACAUCUAAGGAAGGCAGCAGGCGCGCAAAUUACCCAAUCCUGAUUCAGGGAGGUAGUGACAAGAAAUAACAACACUGGAAAUUUCAUUUCUAGUGAUUGGAAUGAUGGGAAUCCAAACCCCUUUCAGAGUAACAAUUGGAGGGCAAGUCUGGUGCCAGCAGCCGCGGUAAUUCCAGCUCCAAUAGCGUAUAUUAAAGUUGUUGCAGUUAAAAAGCUCGUAGUUGGAUUUCUGCUGGAAGCAACCCGUCCGCCCUUAGGGGUGUGCACGAGGUGAAUUCUAGCAUCUUUCUGGUGGCGUCUCACACUUAAUUGGGUGGGUCGCAGUUCCAGGACAUUUA
rnacentral:rRNA from 1 species